GGCACCGCCCGCGGCGCCGCUCCCUUCACGAACCAUAAACUCAUGGAAUAGUAGAAUUACAGAUUUAUAGAAUCAUGGAGUCAUCAAGGUUGGAAGAGACCCUUAAGACCAUCAAGUCUAACCGUCAGCGCAGCACUGGCCCUGUGACCCCUAAACCAUGUCACCCAGCCCCUGAUCCAGAUGCCUCUUAGACACCUCCAGGGAUGGUGACUCCACCACGUUCCUGGCAACCUGGCAUCAUCCACACAGAAUCACAGAAUCAGGCUGGAAAAGCCCUGAGAACUACAUGUUUCACCUGCUGAACAUCCUUUACCCAAAUGUAUUGAAGAAACUUCUUGUUAUCCAUAAGCAGAGGGGACGUAUCUUUAGCUGCAUUUAAUGACGUGUAGUGCCCAAUGUAAGAACAUCUCAGUCAAAGAAGAAACCUCAUAAUUAGAUGAUUGUCAAGAAAAUAAGUGCUUGGCCUUGCUUACCAGUUGAAUGUUUGACAGAGCAGACACUCCAGAAAGACAACACAGAUGCAUGAGUAGAUAAUUACUCAUUUUAACUAUGUUGAAACAAAAGAUGUCAGCAUGUGUGAACUCUGUAGUAGGAACUGGCCACUCUGAAGCUGUUGGUUCUGUGUGAGCCCAUAGGAGAAGUGGCUGGGAGGGAGUUUCAUCCCAGCUGUGGGAGUCCUUGGUAAAAGAGCUCUGCUGAACCACACGUGUGCUCUCACAUCCCUGUCAGGGACUCUGUCAUGAAGUUUCUCUUCUCUGAUCUGUUGUUCAAAAUAGCAACUGCUCCUUGGCAUGACCUACUUAAAGGCUGACACAACAAAGCUGUGUGCUCAAAGAGGGCACUGUGUUAUCUCUGCUGGCGCCAAGAUGUGUCAGAAGAGCAGCCUUGAGGACUCGUGUUUAAAGAUGUGGUCUCAUGAGAACACGGCAGAGACCAAGCAUCCUGGAAAGUUUCCCAUUUUGUGGCAGUAACAGAAUGUGCUUUCUUUGCCAGUUGAGAAUAUAUUUGCUGUCUCCUAUGUUGUUAUGUAAUGUCUAUAGCAUAUAUUUUUUGACACUUAGCUUAAGAGACUCUGUUUAAAAGUAAUAUAUUAUAAUGAGAAAAAACUCUAUCUCUGUUGUAAUAAAAAGUGAAUUAUUCUGUUUGCUGUUUAAGCCUAGUAUGCCCUAUGUAGCUGACAAUCAGUUUGGUAACGUUUCUUAGUAAAGACCAACGUCUUUUAUUAAAGCAAUUUAUGUAAGGAA